CUACGGGAGGCUCCAGUGGGGAAUUUUGCGCAAUGGGCGAAAGCCUGACGCAGCAACGCCGCGUGCGGGAUGAAGGCCUUCGGGUCGUAAACCGCUUUCAGCAGGGAAGAAGUUGACUGUACCUGCAGAAGAAGCUCCGGCUAACUACGUGCCAGCAGCCGCGGUAAUACGUAGGGAGCGAGCGUUAUCCGGAUUUAUUGGGCGUAAAGCGCGCGUAGGCGGCUUGCCAAGCGGGAUCUCAAAACCGAGGGCUCAACCCCCGGACGGAUCCCGAACUGGCAGGCUCGAGUUCGGUAGGGGAAGAUGGAAUUCCCAGUGUAGCGGUGAAAUGCGCAGAUAUUGGGAAGAACACCGAUGGCGAAGGCAGUCUUCUGGGCCGCAACUGACGCUGAGGUGCGAAAGCUAGGGGAGCGAACAGGAUUAGAUACCCUAGUAGUC
rnacentral:rRNA from 1 species